AGCUCAUGGAAGAGGAGAGGAAGAAAUAUACGGAAAAGAUUGAGUCUAUGGCCAGAACACACAGUCUAGAUAUGGAACAGAUGAAAAAGGCUAUAAAUACUGCAUCUUUAAAGAAUCGAUUGUGGGACCUUGCGUUGGCGGGGGUACAUGGUAUCCCCGGUGUUUGCCAAGCUGGAGUCGGCCUCCUAAAAUUAGCCCACAAGUAUGGUUGAAGUCCUCGCUGAGAAACCCAGUGGCAUACAUCGACAGCUUGGCGUUACCUGGCACUGCUCUACCUGUUGCAUUGAAUUAAGAAAUACCCAGGCAGAGCUGGGUUCGAGAAUCAGCUCACUGCCUUUUUUCAGCCAAACUGUUACUGAUUGAACCGGCCUCCUUUCACAAAGAGCGUAUAUUAUAAACCACUGCGACUUUACUAGGACCACAUAUGUGAUGCUACUUCGUAUCCUUAAUCUCCUUGCUGCCUGAGGUGCACCUACUAACCUUUUGAUUAUUUGCUAUUGCCAUUGUUUAUUACUUCGCUGUGGACUACCUACAUGUCUAGUGCACUACAAGUGCUACUUUGUUACAGAGAAUAAUGUGAUGUGUUUAGUUAUGUUUUUGUUUUUUCUUGCGGGUAAUUACCGAUUAUGAGUUACUAGAUUUUCUAAGACUACUUUUAUGUGUCUGCCUUUAGUUCUUGCUCAAUAGAUUCCGACUCGUAAAACGCCUGCAAUUCUAUUCUAUUCUUG